UGGUGUGACGCUGGUGGCGCUGUCUCGUUAGUACUGAUUUGAAUUUGACCUCUGGGUGAAAAGGCCCAGAUAGGCCUGAAAGACGAUUAGACCCUGUCGAACUUUAAGUAAACUAGUUUUAAGGAAAAACGGCUAAGCUUUUGGUUGGGAAAACCGGAGGUAAGAAAAAACACCUCCUCCCUUUGAGACACCCGUUAUUUAUGGGGUAAUAGAGAAUUUACCUUAAGGGCAAUUGGCCUGAUGGAGAGUAAAACAAUAGGGCAAUAAAAGUCUGACAGGACAUAGUUAACUUAUCAAACGAACCUAAAGACCCGCCUGUAAGGCGGGAAACUAUUAAUAAGGGAAUAGUUACCGCAGGGAUAACAGCGUAAUCCUCCCCGGCGAGACCAC
rnacentral:rRNA from 1 species